GUAUAUAUAUUUGUAUGUAGAUAGGUAUUUUAUUUCAUUUUUUAAAAAUUAUAUGAAGCCAGUUUCUUCCUUAGAAAGGCUUGGGAUUAAUGUAUUAGAGCCCGUGCAACUAAUGACGUCACCUAGUAACCCCCGUUACUCUGCGAUGUAGAAUAGCUAUAUCCGCACUGGAUCAAUAGAACCAAAACGGACGCAUAUUUAAAUAGGCUUUGUUACAUCGCUUGGUGGUCGAUACAAGCAUCUAUGACCACAUUUCUCGUUGCCAAAUGAUACUUAUCAACAAGAGACGAGAUAUUAAGUUUAUUUUGUUCUAACUUCCAUGUCUAAACACCGGCGACAGUGGAAGGAUGCAAUAUUGCCUCGCUAUGAAACACUCCGAGUGAGAUAGGUUUUGAAUGCGGAACCGAACAUCGUUCUUUCACUGUCUCGCUGUUUCACGAAGCCCAGACCGAGAUUUGGCUCUGCACAGUGAAUAUAUGUUAAUAUCGAUAUUGAAUAUUUCAGGGAGUGGAUUUUAGUAGAUAUUUCACCCUGGAUUUGAGUGUGAAGUAGGGGAUUAACAUCGGGAUUUAUAUCCCCCCAUCCAUUCGGUGGAGGAGACAAAUUGAUAUUUUGGGAUCUAUUCACGGUGGUGCAUUAUAAAUUUUAAACAUGGGCUGUACAAUGAGCCAAGAACAGCGCAUCGCCUACGAAAGAAGUAAGGCGAUUGAGAAAAAUUUGAAGGAGGAUGGCAUACAAGCGGCAAAGGAUAUAAAACUACUUCUCUUAGGUGCGGGAGAGUCGGGGAAAAGCACCAUUGUUAAACAAAUGAAAAUUAUCCACGAAGGAGGGUUUACCACUGAAGACAACAAACAGUAUAAACCUGUGGUGUAUAGCAAUACUAUACAGUCUCUGGUGGCUAUCAUCCGGGCCAUGGGGGCGCUACAUAUCCACUUCGCUGAUUCUGAAAGAGAGUCAGACGCAAAAAUUGUCUUGGAUGUUAUAUCUCGAAUGGAAGACACCGAGCCCUUCUCAGAGGAACUCUCGGCGGCCAUGAAGAGAUUAUGGACGGACACCGGGGUCCAAGAGUGCUUUGGGCGGUCCAAUGAGUACCAACUAAACGAUUCUGCAAAAUAUUUUCUAGAUGACUUAGAUCGCUUAGGAGCCAAGGAUUACAUGCCCACAGAACAAGAUAUAUUACGAACCAGAGUCAAGACCACUGGCAUUGUGGAAGUUCAUUUCUCUUUUAAAAAUUUAAAUUUCAAAUUAUUUGAUGUGGGAGGCCAGAGAUCAGAACGGAAGAAGUGGAUUCACUGUUUUGAGGAUGUAACCGCCAUUAUAUUUUGUGUAGCUAUGAGUGAAUAUGACCAAGUUCUUCAUGAAGACGAAACAACCAAUCGAAUGCAAGAGAGUUUGAAAUUAUUUGAUUCUAUCUGUAAUAACAAGUGGUUCACCGAUACUUCAAUCAUCCUAUUUCUCAACAAGAAAGAUCUGUUUGAAGAGAAGAUAAAGAAAUCUUCCCUCACUAUAUGUUUUCCUGAAUAUACCGGUAAGUCCCAAAGAUAAACAAAUAUUCAAAUCCAGUAGUUCGAAUUAUCGAUGUAACAUUCAAAUUCUAGUGGUAUAUAAUUCUUUUUAAAGAUACAUUUGCAGAAUUUCCCCUGUUCGAUCUUCCUUUGUUAUAUAUAGGUAUUUGAUAACAUCAUCAACACAAAGGGCACUUAAUUUGCCUACAACCAGUAUACACACAGUGUUCAAAAGUUACACUGCAUGAUACGUAUUUUGGGUGUGAUGUAUUUUCAAAAUGGCAUGUUGGACAAAUUACUCCCUCGUCUUUUGUGGGGCUUUUAAUUGAUUUACCCCAGACGAUAAAUGAGCGUAAUAUUCUGGGCGAACAUGUUUAUACUUGUUAGAAAUAUUAGAAUAAACUUUAUUGUCAUACAGAGUGUAUUCUUAAUUAGUACCUGUUAGAAAUAUCAAACAAAAUAAACCCACAGACUAUAAUUUUUUUAAUGAAACUAGCAUGACAUUUAAAUUGAAUAUGCACAUUUUCUCGAUUAUACAUGCAAUUUGUACAAAAUUCUUAAACAUUCGACGGUUAAAAGAUUCACUAAUUAUCCUCUCGCAAUUCAUAGGACUGUUCUUGUGUCGGCAAGUGUGUGUGUAUAACACAUAGGACUGUUCUUGUGUCGGCAAGUGUGUGUGUAUAACACUGAGCCUGUAGAAACUCUACAUGCCACAGAAUUUGCUCAAUUGAUUAGAUACCUCACAUGUAGCUUUGCUAUCAAGAUAGAAAGAACGUUAAUAAUUUUAGGGUAAAAAAAAUCCAAAGGUCAAGGUCACUAUGAGACUUCACAGAAUAAGCUAGUAGACACUCAUUGCGAGGGGAUAUGCCCCACCUUAUUGCAUGUGGUUUUUUAAUACAACUCUGUAACCACUUUGCCUAAAAAUAAAUCACAAAACCCAGCAUGUUUUAAUUGCUGAUUCUACGUGAUCCGCCAUGUUGGAUUUCGACUCAUCACAACACACACCUCUGACGUGAUGUAGGAAAGUGUACCCUAAUGUACACCGAAAGUUAGCACCACUGCAUCUGAUGUAGGAAAGAAAGUGUCCAAUGUACCGCGGAUGUAAAAUGGAUAUAGAAUGCUUCGAAAUCGAUGUUGUGCUCAUCAUUUUGCCCAGUAGCGAAGGAUAUGAGGUCGUGAAUUUUUCACCUGAAAUUAGUUUUUUUCAUCUCAAGAUUUGUUUUUCCUUUUUACAAAGUCAUUAAUGAUUAUGUAACACGAAGUAGUAUGGACAUCUUCAUUCGGUAUUGAGGUUUAUCUCCAAAUACCACUCACAGUAAGAUAUUUUAAAAUGAAUAUGAAAUGAUUAAAAGAUUGUAUCAUAAAAACUUCUUUAUCGCGUACGUAUUAUACAACACGAUCUAAAUGCACUGUACUCAUUUCCAAUCCAUGCGUUGACUUGGGGUACUUAAAGUAUUAUGCUGUCAAACUGUAAAUGCCAGAUUCUCGAGAGUGUCAACAAGUUAAGAACAAAGGUGUUUUAAAAUUAAAUUGACACUUUCAUUAAUUAUCAUUGAUUAUUAAGACCGUGGAGAGCUGUGCAAACAGUAUCGCCUAAGAAGUGUUUAUGACCUGUUCUAUUUCAGGCCCAUAUAACGAAACAAAACAACGGGAGUCAAUCUUCACAUGAAUCAAUUCAACAUUGAAAAUUAUUUCUAAGUAUAUAAUGCAUUAAAAACACACCAAAGAUGACUAAUGAUUAAG